rnacentral:rRNA from 1 species
GUACACGCUGUGACUAGCAUAUCAAUAAGCGGAGGAAAAGAAACUAACAAGGAUUCCCUUAGUAACGGCGAGUGAAGCGGGAAGAGCUCAAAUUUGAAAUCUUCAAGGUUUUACCUUGACGAAUUGUAGUUUAAAGAAGUGUUUUCUGCUGAAGUUUUGGUAAAAGUUCUUUGGAAUAGGACAUCAUAGAGGGUGAGAAUCCCGUAUUUGACCAUUAUUUUCAGCUUUGUGAUACACUUUCAAAGAGUCGGAUUGUUUGGGAAUGCAGUCCCAAAACUGGGUAGGUAAAUUUCUUCUAAGGCUAAAUAUUGGCGAGAGACCGAUAGCGAACAAGUACCGUGAGGGAAAGAUGAAAAGAACUUUGAAAAGAGAGUUAAAUAGUACGUGAAAUUGUCAAAAGGGAAGCGUUUAACACCAGUGUUGUUUUCUGAAAAUCAACCUCUGUUAGCUUUAUGCAUGUUUGUUUAGACCUAAUCAGCUAUCUUGCAUGUUCUAUUGUUUGCAGUGGUGCACUUUUCAGUUUACAGGUCAACAUCAGUUUUUUUUACCGUAAAAAAGUUAAAGAAAGGUAGUUCAUGGCUCCGGUCGUGAGUGUUAUAGUCUUUUUCCUAUGCGGUAGGAGAGACUGAGGUCUGCAGUGUAGGCUAUUUGGCUAGAUACUCAGGUGCUAUGUGAUACCAUUUCAUAAACAACUUGUUGAUUAUGUUUUGUCUAUUGCAUACUCGCUUGUACUAUCAUACCUACGCUUAGGAUGUUGACGCAUGAGAUAUACGC